rnacentral:rRNA from 1 species
GUCUUUUUGAUAAUAAUUUAAAGUUUGACCUGCUCAAUGAAGAUUAAAUAGCUGCAGUAUUUUGACUGUACAAAGGUAGCAUAAUAAAUAGUUUCUUAAUUAGAAGCUGGUAUGAAUGGUUGGACGAGAUAAUUUCUGUCUCUUUAAAAAUUUUUUUGAAUUUUAUUUUUAAGUUAAAAAGCUUAAAUUUUUUUUAUAGACGAGAAGACCCUAUAGAGUUUUAUUAAAUUUGGAAUUUGUAUUAUUGGGAAAGUUUAUUUUUUUAAAUUUUAAAUUUAAUUUUAUUGGGGUGAUGUAAAAAUUUAAUAAACUUUUUAAUUUUUAUUUCAUUUAUUUAUGUUUGUUUGAUCCAAUAUUUUUGAUUAUUAGAGUAAAUUACCUUAGGGAUAACAGCGUAAUUUUUUUAGAGAGUUCUAAUCGAUAAAAAAGUUUGCGACCUCGAUGUUGGAUUAAAAUUAAAAUUUGGUGUAGAAGCUAAGUAAUUUAGGUCUGUUCGACCUUUAAAAUUUU